rnacentral:rRNA from 1 species
GACGAACGCUAGCGGCGUGCUUAACACAUGCAAGUCGAACGGAAAGGCCCUGCUUUUGUGGGGUGCUCGAGUGGCGAACGGGUGAGUAACACGUGAGUAACCUGCCCUUGACUUUGGGAUAACUUCAGGAGACUGGGGCUAAUACCGGAUAGGAGCUCCUGCUGCAUGGUGGGGGUUGGAAAGUUUCGGCGGUUGGGGAUGGACUCGCGGCUUAUCAGCUUGUUGGUGGGGUAGUGGCUUACCAAGGCUUUGACGGGUAGCCGGCCUGAGAGGGUGACCGGCCACAUUGGGACUGAGAUACGGCCCAGACUCCUACGGGAGGCAGCAGUGGGGAAUAUUGCACAAUGGGCGGAAGCCUGAUGCAGCAACGCCGCGUGCGGGAUGACGGCCUUCGGGUUGUAAACCGCUUUCGCCUGUGACGAAGCGUGAGUGACGGUAAUGGGUAAAGAAGCACCGGCUAACUACGUG